rnacentral:tRNA from 1 species
GGAGAAAUGACCGAGAGAUCGAAGGUGCCUGACUCGAAAUCAGGUGAAGGUUUCAUAUCUUCCUAGGGUUUGAAUCCCUAUUUCUCCG